CCCUUAGAUGUUCUGGGCAGCACGCGCGCUACAAUGGUCUUCGCAAACGGAUGCAUUCUCGAAGGAGAAUGCCAAUCUUGGAAUCUAUGCCUUGGUCGGGACAGUUGCUUGCAAUUUUUCGACUCGAACCAGGAAUUCCUUGUAAUCGUGAUUCAUCACAUCACGAUGAAUACGUCCCUGCCCUUUGUACACACCGCCCGUCGCUCCUACCGAUCGAAGAGCUAGGUGAAUUGUUUUGAUCGAUAAGAUUUGACUAUGGUCAGCUCUCGUUGUGAAAUUCUGUGAAUCUGACUGUUUAGAGGAAGGAAAAGUCGUAACA
rnacentral:rRNA from 1 species